rnacentral:rRNA from 1 species
CCUACGGGGGACUGCAGUGGGGACUAUUGCACAAUGGGGGCAACCCUGAUGCAGCGACGCCGCGUGAGUGAAGAAGUAUCUCGGUACGUAAAGCUCUAUCAGCAGGAAAGAAAAUGACGGUACCUGACUAAGAAGCCCCGGCUAACUAAGUGCCAGCAGCCGCGGUAAUACGUAGGGGGCAAGCGUUAUCCGGAUUUACUGGGUGUAAAGGGAGCGUAGACGGCGCUGCAAGUCCGGAGUGAAAGCCCAUGGCUUAACCAUGGUACUGCUCUGGAAACUGUAGAGCUUGAGUGCAGGAGAGGCAGGCGGAAUUCCUAGUGUAGCGGUGAAAUGCGUAGAUAUUAAGAGGAACACCGGCGGCGAAGGCGGCCUGCUGGACCGUAACUGACGUUGAGGCUCGAAAGCGUGGGGAGCAAACAGGAUUAGAUACCCUUGUAGUC